GAUGAACGCUGGCGGCGUGCUCAACACAUGCAAGUCGAACGGAAAGGCUCUUGCUUGUUGGGGUACUCGAGUGGCGAACGGGUGAGUAACACGUGGGUGAUCUGCCCUGUACUUUGGGAUACGCUCGGGAACCUGGGCCUAAUACCGGAUAGGACCGCACUUUGGCUGGUGUGGCGGAAAGCUUUUUCGGUGUUGGAUGAGUUCGCGGCCUAUCAGCCUGUUGGUGGGGUAUUGGCAUACCAAGGCGUCGAGGGGUAGCCGGCCUGAGAGGGUGUACGGCCACAUUGGGAGUGAGAGUCGGCCCAGACUGCUACGGGAGGCAGCAGUGGGGAAUAUUGCACAAGGGGCGCAAGCCUGAUGCAGCGACGCAGCGUGGGGGAUGACGGCCUUCGGGUUGUAAACUCCUUACGCUAGGGACGAAGAGUGAUUGACGGGACCUGGAAAAGGAGCAGCGGCUAACUACGUG
rnacentral:rRNA from 1 species